CUUUGGUUUAGCUCAGAGUUCUGUUUGGCAGGGCACUUUGACAUCAGGCAACUAUGACUGGAAAGGACUCUGUGUGACACGAGUGAAGGUCCCGAGAUGACAUGAGGGAGCGAAGAGAACAGUGGUGUGGGAUGCGGGACUGAUUCAGAUGGUCCACAGCAGCAGACUAUUUGCGUCCUGCGGGCUCUGAGAGGAGCCCUUUGCCAGCUGCAGAUAGUUUAAAUCUGAGGACUCUGGAGAGAGAAUGAAUGCCAGAGGCCAGAGAGUGUGGAACUGGGAGAAAGAACAAGGCUGCUGCUGCUUCCCUGCUGUGGCUCCUGGUUGCUGUUGUGAGACAGGAAGUUGAAGAUCUCCUGAACUGGCUCCAAGGAACCUGACAACCCUAACCAGCAGGAAGCUGCAAAGAAAGAACUGUGCCCCCUCUGCCACUAACGCUUUUCUCUCCUACCUGGUGUUGGGGUGUUGGAAGGGAUUGGGGUGGAGUAGGGAGAAAAAGAUAAAAGAAAUGUAAAUAAAAGAGUUUUUAAAAGCUAACUCCAA